rnacentral:rRNA from 1 species
AUUGAACGCUGGCGGCAUGCCUUACACAUGCAAGUCGAACGGCAGCACGGGGGCAACCCUGGUGGCGAGUGGCGAACGGGUGAGUAACAUAUCGGAACAUACCCUAGAGUGGGGGAUAACGUAGCGAAAGUUACGCUAAUACCGCAUACGAUCUAAGGAUGAAAGUGGGGGAUCUUCGGACCUCAUGCUCAUGGAGUGGCCGAUAUCUGAUUAGCUAGUUGGUGAGGUAAAGGCUCACCAAGGCGACGAUCAGUAGCUGGUUUGAGAGAACGACCAGCCACACUGGAACUGAGACACGGUCCAGACUCCUACGGAGGCAGCAGUGGGAUUUUGGACAAUAGGGGCAACCCUGAUCCAGCAAUGACCGCGUGAGUGAAGAAGGCCUUACGGGUUCGUUAAA